AGCAGGAUGGGCUGGACAGUGGGACAGCCUGUGUGCACAUUUUGUGGCAAGUAGGAGUGACACCAUCCCUGGGAGGCACCAUGGUUCCUGCCAAACCCAACCCUAGAACUCUGUCCCUGAGGUCGUUUCACCAAAACCCAAAACCCAGAACUGUGGUUGUGGCUCAGGGGUCAGCACCUGCUAGUACCAGGACACUACUGGGAGGCUGGGACCUGACUGAAGCCCAUGGUGUCUGUGGCCUGAGGACAGGGUGUGUUGGGGCCAUAAGGCCCGGCCGCCAAUGGCCAUUGGGUCCUAGGGCCUCAGCCCCGGUGUUUGCCCUUCCCUGGCUCCUUCUUGUUCAGUCCCAUUAGGACCCUGGAGCCCAAGACCCAGCACCCAAGGUCCCCUCCAGGAAUGCUGGCAGUUUGGCUUCCUUUAUCAUGUUUCAUCUGAGAGCAAAAAUGUCAGAUCGGAUGCACAGAAAAAUGGCCCAAAUUGUUUAAUGACUAGAAGAAAUAUAGGAGCAGCAAGAAUAUGUCUCAGCUGCUCUACAAGGGGGUCCCAUUUCAGGUGUGGGGCUAGGCAUGGUCACUCCUGCUGGAUGUCUAGAAGGUGGAAAUUAAGGACCAAGAAAAUACCAGAUACAGCCUUUCCACCCUCAUCCAGAGCAGGACAAACAGGCCAGGUGGUGUCAGGAGCCCAGGUCUCCAGCUGGAGGGAACGUCAACCCUGCAGUGGGAGCAGGGGCCCAUCGCACAUCCUAGGCACAGAUGCUAAUGUAGGCACCGCAGAAGCACUGCUGACUGUAAGUGGCUGCCAUUUGUGGCAGUGAGCAUUUUGUCCAUUCUGAGGUUGGAUUGGUUUCUCCUUUUGGCCUUGCCCUGCCCUACAGACCAUAAAGGAGAACAGCAAGAGGCCCCCAGCAAACACCCACAGAUGGCCCUGGACAUCAGCCACAUUCUGAGAAACGUCAUGUUGUGGGAGGGCUAAGGCAUCAAGAAUUCUAGUGACUAUGUUGCCACCAUCUUGGAGCUCCAUGCCCUCAUAGUAUAGUGGCACCAGCAGAUCUGCCUGUGCAUGGACUUCCUGUACUACCUCACUCCUGAGGGGAGAUGCUUCUGCAGGGCCUAUGAACUGGUGCACAACUUUAGCCACCAUCGUCCUGGAGCAGCGCUACACCCUCACUAGCCAGGGUGUCGACAGCCUCAAGGCCAAGGCCACAUUCAAGACUUUGGACUUCACUGAUGCACUUGUGCCGAGCAAGCUGUUUUGCAGAUCCUGGUCAGAGUAAAACAUUCCAUGGGAACUCGGGCUGUGAGAAGCAUCCUAACCACCUGACUGCAGAAACAUCCUUAUCACAUCCUGCUGGGCAAAGGCCCAACAGCCUGACUUCAGGAACAUCCUUAUCAUCUUCUACUGGGCAGCAAGCUAUACUGUCCAGAGCGCUCCCUCCCAGCCCCAUGAUUACCCCAGCCUGUGAGCGGCAGUGGGUGCUGACACUAAGCUGGUUUCCCCCUCCGCAGGGUUUUGCUAGUAAUAAACCUGUGUUGCUGUUGAAGCGGC
rnacentral:lncRNA from 1 species